rnacentral:rRNA from 1 species
CCUACGGGUGGCAGCAGUGGGGAAUAUUGGACAAUGGGGGCAACCCUGAUCCAGCCAUGCCGCGUGUGUGAAGAAGGCCCUCGGGUUGUAAAGCACUUUCAGUGAGGAAGAACGCCUGGUGGUUAAUACCCAUCAGGAAAGACAUCACUCACAGAAGAAGCACCGGCUAACUCCGUGCCAGCAGCCGCGGUAAUACGGAGGGUGCGAGCGUUAAUCGGAAUUACUGGGCGUAAAGCGCGCGUAGGUGGCUUGAUAAGCCGGUUGUGAAAGCCCCGGGCUCAACCUGGGAACGGCAUCCGGAACUGUCAAGCUAGAGUGCAGGAGAGGAAAGUAGAAUUCCCGGUGUAGCGGUGAAAUGCGUAGAGAUCGGGAGGAAUACCAGUGGCGAAGGCGGCCUUCUGGACUGACACUGACACUGAGGUGCGAAAGCGUGGGUAGCAAACAGGAUUAGAUACCCGAGUAGUC